UGGAACCGAUUGAUGCUAUUUUGAUUUGGUUUCGUAUUUCGGUUUUGAUUUUCGGUUUCAAAUACAGUCCCCUGUAUGCUGGUCUUCAUCAACACGCUAAAUUUGAAGCUCGUUUCGUUUCACCUAAACGCACUGCAAAACCCUACUCUCACUCAGACUCCAAUGCACCGGUGAACCCUACUAACAAUUUCAAUAAACCCUACCAAGCCUCCGAGUUAGCACGAGUCGACUCAGUCCGCUAUCGACGAGUCUACCACCGAAACCGCCCCGGUUCCCGAUGCCAGGAACGGGGUCGCUGAGCGAACGCCGGAGGAGAUGGUAGCCAAGGGCAUCGCUCGCGUGAAGAAACAGUUCCUUCGCCCUCCACCCAUAAAAGCUCUCUCUAACGACCAGAACGACGCCGUCCCGGAGGGGAAACCAAAGGCUCCCCAGCUGUUUGCUUAAGACAAUAAUUUUGAUAAUUUUGUUUUUCUUCAACAUUGCAGGCAGCGAAAUCGGCAGCAGGCAUCUGCCCGGAGGUGGCGAAAAGAGGAGAUGUUAGCCGGUGCCCGUACAACGAUAAAUGCCGGUUCAGCCACGACAUAGAGGCUUAUAAAGCUCAGAAACCUGAGGAUAUAGAGGGAGAGUGUCCUUUCAUGACUGCCCAGGAGACAUGCCCAUAUGGGUUGGCAUGUAGGUUCUUGGGUUCGGAUAAAGACGGUGUUGAAGGUGGGGAUUUGAGUGCUCGCAGAAGAAGCUCUGAGGUGAAUGGAUUGACCAAAGAUGUUCAAAAGCUUUUGUGGAAGAAUAAAAUGAAGUUCCCCAAAGCAGACGCCAAACUCAAGGCUCUUGGGCUCGAGGGUCAAGCAUCAGAAUGGGCACUGCUGAGGUGACAUUCAUCCGAGGAUUUGUUUGUGUUCAGAUAUGUGGAUCACAUCCAGACACUGUGGCACACACUGUUGACCUAAUAGAUCAGGAAUGUCAAGUGGACUUUAUUGAUAUAAAUAUGGGGUGCCCAAUUGAUAUUGUUGUGAACAAGGGUGCUGGGUCAGCUCUUCUUACAAAACCCAUGCUGAUGAAAGGCAUUGUACAAGCAGCUUCUGGUACCGUCGACAGUCCUAUAACUAUUAAGGUACUGAAUUCUAUUCAUGUUCUACACAACUCUGAACAAAACAGUCUACAUCAAUCUGCAAGAUAGCAGGUUUGGCUGAAUAAUGUGUUUCAUUUUUUUAAAUUGUUUUGUUCCAAAAUGAUGACAUGUUUUCUCUGCCGUCAUGGCCUCUUUGAUAUCUUUUCUGUUUGAUUGCUUCUUAAGUGAACUUCUUCUUAAGUGAACUUCUAGGUUUUAAGGUUGUCCGCGAAAUGUUAUACUGCUGCUUUACUGUUUCUAAACCAGGACAGCCUAUUUUGAGGGGAAAAAUCGCAUUGAUUCCACUUAUUGCGGACAUGGGAAACUGGGGAGCUAGUGCAGAGUUGAAUAUCAGAGUGCGCAACGAACAAGACUAACAAAAUAAGAAUAUUAUUAAAUAAACAAGAAUGCCGAAAUGGCUACAAAACCCUAAGAGACUACAUUGUGAAUGACUUCUCUAAACUGAAUAACAAGCAUGCUAUUUAUAAUAAACUAACCCUAACCUAAAAAGGUAAGAAACCGAAACCCUAAUGUUAACGGGCUAAGCCCAGAAAACCAAAUAUUCAAAUAAACUAAAAUCCUAAUAUUUUCCAACA